rnacentral:rRNA from 1 species
GUAGGUGGCAAGCGUUGUCCGGAAUUAUUGGGCGUAAAGCGCGCGCAGGUGGUUCUUUAAGUCUGAUGUGAAAGCCCCCGGCUCAACCGGGGAGGGUCAUUGGAAACUGGGGAACUUGAGUGCAGGAGAGGAAAGUGGAAUUCCACGUGUAGCGGUGAAAUGCGUAGAUAUGUGGAGGAACACCAGUGGCGAAGGCGACUUUCUGGCCUGUAACUGACACUGAGGCGCGAAAGCGUGGGGAGCAAACAGGGAUUAGAUACCCUGGUAGUCCACGCCGUAAACGAUGAGUGCUAAGUGUUGGGGGGGUUUCCGCCCCCUCAGUGCUGCAGCUAACGCAUUAAGCACUCCGCCUGGGAGUACGGUCGCAAGGCUG